UGUAAAAAAUAUUAGAAAAGAGGGGCGAAAGAUACCAGAGGGACAGUCAAACUCAUAGAUCGAAAAUAAACUGACCAUGGCAUAGCUAAAAAUGAAAAAGACCAACAGACAAAUGAUAGUACAUACAUGACAUAUGCCACAAUUUAAAAAAAGAAAAGACAACGCAACAUGAAUCACUCCAAAAAUGGAGGUGAAGAGAAGAGAAGGGUCAAACAAAAAAAUAUUAUUCGUAUAAAAUCUACAGAAAAACGACAACAAUGAAUAUGCUGUUAGUGCAGUCUAUUUUUUUUUCUAGUUGUACAUUUUGUUACAUAUACAGGCAUGUACACUGUCCCACUUAUCAACAUUGUGAAUCAAAACAGAGAUAGCAUACCAGGUUGAUGUAUGGAUUAGCAGACCAGGAAAACAAUCCAUGUCUUUCUCUUAGUCGAGGUGCAGAUUGUACGUGACAUUUAAACAUAGUGUUUUUUUUUCUAGCAGUAAAUGCAAGACAUGUUAUAGUGAACUGACUAAACAAUCAAUCCUUAAUCAAUUUGAAUUGUUACGCAGCAGCUAUGUUAAAUACUUAUAUUUUAAGAAAAAUAACAAAAAAGAAAAAGUAAUAUAUAUGUAUAAAAUCUUUGUCGGAGAAUACAGUUGUAUUUAACUUACUAUAUU
rnacentral:lncRNA from 1 species